rnacentral:rRNA from 1 species
GACGAACGCUGGCGGCGUGCCUAAUACAUGCAAGUAGAACGCACAGUUUAUACCGUAGCUUGCUACACCAUAGACUGUGAGUUGCGAACGGGUGAGUAACGCGUAGGUAACCUGCCUGGUAGCGGGGGAUAACUAUUGGAAACGAUAGCUAAUACCGCAUAAUAUUAAUUAUUGCAUGAUAAUUAAUUGAAAGGUGCAAUUGCACCACUACCAGAUGGACCUGCGUUGUAUUAGCUAGUAGGUGAGGUAACGGCUCACCUAGGCGACGAUACAUAGCCGACCUGAGAGGGUGAUCGGCCACACUGGGACUGAGACACGGCCCAGACUCCUACGGGAGGCAGCAGUAGGGAAUCUUCGGAAAUGGACGAAAGUCUGACCGAGCAACGCCGCGUGAGUGAAGAAGGUUUUCGGAUCGUAAAGCUCUGUUGUAAGAGAAGAACGGGUGUGAGAGUGGAAAGUUCACACUGUGACGGUAUCUGACCAGAAAGGGACGGCUAACUACGUG